UUACUCUGCAGAGCUAGUUCUUCCCUUUCUCCUUCACCCCUCAUUUUGAAAUAAACUUUUCACACCAUUUUUUAGCCUUUCUCAUCUAAUUCUUUGUUCCAGACAAGAAGGACCUAGAAUACUUUGGUUUGGCGAGCCAUUUUUAAAGGAACUGCUGGACAAAAGCCCAAGGGCUGAAGUUCCAGAACACCAAACGGAAGUAUAGCUCAAAAGACGGCCCAGUGUGAAUAAGCUGGAAGAGCCUGCUGUUCUUUGUUUAAUGUGGAUGAGGCCAUUCAGAAGUGCAAGCAGAUGGGAAUGCUGGGCCAUCUGCCAGGCCUGAGAGGGAUGGCUCUGACACUGGAGACCAGGCCAGGAAUUCUUGUACAGGUUCUUUGCAAAGCGAUUGUGAAGAGGACUGGAAGAACACAGGAGUUGAACUUCAGGGAUGAAGUAGCCCCCGACACAUCUUUUAGAGCUAGGACGCCGCAGACCAACACUGGUUCAGAGUCAGCCUCCUUGUGAGAAAUCCUCAGGACUUCAUCCAACACUCCUCCCCACAUCCGGAUGCAUCUAUUUUCUGGACUCUGCCCAGUUCUUCACCUCAGUCAGGAGCCGGCCGUGCGGAGUGAAGGUGAGUCCGGCUGUCCUGGGCCCAGCUCUCGGCUCUCAUCCCGUCUACAGCGACGGUUUCCCCUCUCCAGCAUCCUUCAGUACAGGUCUCAUUCUUACACUCGGAACACAGAGAAAAGCUCCGCCUGCUGUGCCAUCCACGGCCUUGUUCCAACCGUGAAGGUUGUCUUGAUUUCUUGGAAACCCGUCCAUCAAGAAUUUAUUGCCGGUGAUAAUCUAGCAACUCAU